GGCUUCUUAGUACAGUUGGCAGCAUGUCAGUCUCAUAUUCUGAAAGUCCUGAGUUCAAGCCUCAGAGAGGGCA
rnacentral:tRNA from 1 species